UUCCAGCAGAUUCUUCAAGCUUCCAGCAAAUUUUUCUUCUUCCUCACCCAUCCAAUGCCAUUUUUCAUUCCACCUCCAUGAAAAUCAAAUAUUCAUGUGAUUUUUCCUUGUUUUCUUUCUAUUUCUUUUCUUUUCUUAAUCCUUCCUUCUCCUAACUUCUUGGGCACUGAAUUGGCAGCUUCUAACCCCAAUUUUCAGCACAUCUAAACCCUUAGAGAGAGAAAGAAAAAUCUCUCCUUGUUUCUUAUAUUUUCUAUUUCUACUGCACUUUCAACAGCACUUGGAUAUUUGGCUUCAAAUCUUCAUUUUCAAGGUUGAAAGGUAUAUAUUUUCAACUUUUGGAAUUUUGGAAUUUAUGGUUAUAUUUUCAAAUUUAUUUUCUAAUUUCUUCAAAUUAUUUUUCUUGGAAAGAUUAGGUUUUUGGUUGAUCUUCAUGCCUCCAAGCUCAUCCAGGUAACGAAAUUUAAAUUGGAGUAGUUGGCCAAAUGGGUUUGUGAAUUAGACUAGAAACUUAAGUUAAAUGUUAGGUUAGAGAGUAGAUUGCCUACUGUAAAUUCAUUAGAAUUAUUAGAUUUAAUUUACAACUUAAUUGAGAUUGUUAUGGUUUAUUGAUAAAUAUAAGUUUUAAUGGUAUUUCGGGACUACUUGGAUUAGGACCUUGUUGGUGCUAGUUUUGUCAGGUGAGUGAACUGCAUUUCAAAAUCAUUUUGGGAAUGUGAUUGUUUUGUACAAAGCAUUUGAAUGAUUUUAUACAACUUUAUCUUAAAACAAGUGCCUUAGGAACAAGCUUUUGCUAAAUGGUUUUAUGUUGUGAUAUGUAAUUGUUAUUGAUUCAUGCACCAUUUCAUUAUGAUAUAUAUAUAUAUAUAUGUUGUGCAUGAUAGUUGAUAUUGUGUAUGAUGACUAUAACCGUUUGUGUGCACGAUGUGGGGGGAUGCACAUGCCGGUGAUGAUGGUGGUGUGGGAGAUGGAUGAUGAUAGUGCCCAUGUGCACGAUGUGGGGGGAUGUACACGAUGGCACUGAUUGUGCACGAUGUGGGGGGAUGAACAUGAGUCAGGUGUGAUUAUGCUGAUAUUGGUGUUAUCUAUGCAUUUAUAUAUAUACAUCUAUGUUUAUGAAAUCAAAGUUCAUGAGUAUGGUAUAUGGUUUUGCAUAUGUGAAUCUUGCAUGUUGAACUUUGAAAGUUGCUAAGUAUUGUCAAAUUGGUGUUCAUUGCAACAAAGAAUUUGGCUGUAGCGAAAUGGAUUCUCGUUACCGCCAGAAACUCUCAGUGGUUGUGCAGUGGUGUCACUCUGACAGCGAUUUUGACCACAUUUCUAUCAGAAUUGGGCAAAGUAGUAAACACUAAAGUCGUAGCCCUAUCUCUUAGUUUUCUAAUGACCCAACAAGCAUGUCAAUUGGACCCAUGUAGUGGAAGAUAUGCUUGAAAAACUGAACCAUAUGCAAACCGAGAAUGCCUUUUGCUGCAACGAGAAACGUGCUGUCACGUUGCUACCUUGCUUGGGUUCUGAUAUAAUUUCCUUCACUCCCUUAUCUUCAUGAUUGAGCAUGGGUCUUUGCAAUACUAAGAGUCCAUUGGUCAAUGUCCAAAACAAGGGGGUUUAAGAAAGAAAUUAAACCAAAUUACAUUGUUUUCAAAACAAAUGCAUCAUGAUUUCCAAAUUCUUCCUAUUGAUUCCUUGUUCCCUUCUUAUGUUCACUCACUGAGUUUUAUACUCACGUUUUUAAAAUUCAUGUUUUCAAAUUUAGAGGUAGUUGGAACCUAGUUUGAGUCGCACACAUAUGCUCGUUUUCUUGGUAGGUACUAUGGCAUCUCAGUAGCUGCACCUUCACUAUGGUCACUCCGCUGGAAGUCUAGACUCCUUUUCAUUGAACAUAUGUACCUUGAUGUAAAUUGUUAAGAUAUAUAUAUCUUAAGCAAUAGACGUUUAUGUUUAUUAAUGUUGCCACUACGAGAUGGCACGAAUGACGUUAUUUUGAAUCAUAAAUGUGAACAUAUGGUUUCAAUGGAAAAGUAUUGAAAUACUUGUUGAUAAGAAUUAUGUAAUAUGGUUGUAAGAACGAGUGAUGAAAUCGAUGAAUUGAGUCACAUAAAUAGGCUUGCUUGGGCUUAGUGGGCUAUGCCCAUUGGGCUCAUGUGCAGAUCAUGGCUCGAAAAUUUGGGCUGUGACAAAGGUGGUAUCAGAGCUCUAGGUUUAGUCGAACCCUAGGGAUCCUUGUGUCUGUUAGCGGAGUUAUCAGAGUUAAUGUAGAGUCUUGUUUAUGGCUUGUGACUGCAGCACAAAUCAUAGAUAAAAGACUAUAUGAACUUCUAUUCCUAGUAACCUGCCCUUUUGCUAUCGUCAUGUAAAGGGUAUAAAUGGUAUCGUUGCUCGGGUUUGAGAUGCCACCCGACACACAAACCAUUAUUGGAAAGAUUUUGAAGCAAAUGCUCUUAAUGAAAGGUCAAUAUAAUGAUAUAUUCCUCUAACUAAGGAUGAAGGAAGGUGGAGCUGGACUGUUAGGUCCAUAAUAAUUUAUUCCUUUAGCGAAAUUAUGAUUUGAACCCAUGGUUAUCAAGGAAAAAAAAUUUAAAAAAAAUUUAAAGACUAUGGAUUGUAUUUAAGGUCAAUAUAGGGAGGACGUAUGAUAAUGGUAAUAAGAGCUGUAUUUUGACUGGAAUAAAUAGUGAUUGUUAUGAUUCGCUUGAGAUUUAUAAAUUUAAAUAUCGAGGAAAGUGUAAACCAAUGUUUAUGUGCACCGAGGUAAGUGCACUGUGUUAAUUGAGCUUGACAUGCCCCUAUAGAAAUGGUGUGGACUUUUGAAAUAUUUUAUAAGCAUAUAAGUGUUGAAUAUGUGUAUAGUAGCUUAAAUGGAGUUGGUUUUGAUUUCAAUUAAGUGAUUGCGAGAUUCCAAGGCUUGAAUUAAAUUAUUGUAGUUUAUGGUUAUAAUUGUAUGAAUUAGCUCAAGGGUGAAAAUCACGGAUUAUUAUAAUUGAUGGUAGUCAUGAAGUAAAAGGCUAGUAAAUGAUUUACUCUAAUAAUGAACUUGAAUUUUUGCUAUGCUUAGUGUGGAGCCAAAAGAUUAAAAGACUAGAUGUGGAUUUAGCAAUUUGAAAUUAAAUGACAUGGAAAUGACAAAUUUAGUCUAAGUGCCACAUGGAGUUCUAUACUAAGAUCGAUAUAUGAAUUGCUUUAAAGGUCAAUUUAAAAAUAUGUUUGGUUCAAUAUGCAACCUAUGAUGUAAAUGAUUAGUCUUGAAUGUGAUUUCACCAAAGGUAAGGGACUUAAAACAUGUGGAUUUUCAUAUAUGCUCUAAGAGGAAGCUUCUGCACCUUAAGCUUAAGAAAUUUUGAUCUUAUGACUGCAAAGGCAAGAUACAAAAAAUUUAUGUGAAUUGUUUGCCUUAUGGAUGUAAUUGGUUAAGAAUUGAUGAGUACAGCCAAGAUCUUAACAUUAAGUAGCGUACAAUUUGAUAUAUGUGUACCUAAGAGUAAAUUUGGAGAUCCUUGCUUAAUCAAUUUGCACUGAAUGUUGUGGUAAAGGUAUAUGAAUGUUAGUGGUGAAGUAUGUCCAAAGUGAGAUAUGUGGAGAUUAAUGUUCUGAUCACAAACUUGUGAUAGAAAGCUAGUUUUGCAAAUUGUGGUUUCCAUGAUCACAAAAUAUAUGGAGAUUAUCAAUAUGUAGGCAUACACUUAGAGUUGUACAUCUUGUGAUUCCCAUGCAUCAUAUGGAAUGAGAUAUCCCAUAGAGGAGUUUACCUGAUUUAUGGUUACAUGACAAUAGGCUUAGCAUGAGAUUGAGAGUGCCUUGGCAUAAAUGUGGAAUGUAUUGUGAAAGGUUGAAAAGCCACAUAUACCUUAACAAGGUCAAUAACAUGAAUGAGGAAGGAGAUAUGAAUGUUGAUAUGCUAAGCAUAAAGAACUUAAGGAUAAUUAAUGCAAUUAUACUAAGUUAGAUAGUAUGAUCCGAACUAAGAACACAAAUACCUUGGAAGAUUUUAAAAUAAUGCCAAGUAGGGUCAGUGAGCUAAAGUUUUAUCGGGCAUACAAUGAACGAUUAAAGUUAUGAGUGGCUUUGAAGAUAAGCCUUUGAUUGAUUAAAUUCUCAAUGGAACCCUAUUAAAGAAAGUGUUUAAGUGAUUUGGAAGUGUAUGGAAAAGCAUAAGAGAAUAUAUUAGCUUGACUUGCUAUAAGAGGUCAAAAUUUGGAUGGCCAUGAGUGGCUUAUGAGUAACCCAGCAAUGUAUAAAUAAACGUGUAAGAAAGCUAUGAUUGAUAGAUAAGGGUAGAACUUUAAUGAUGAGACUGUGUUCACUGCUUUAAGCAUUGAAUUGUAAAUUACGAACAUGUAUCCACCUUGUGAAUACCUUGAUGAGGUAAAUUCAAAAGAUUUUUCACAAUGAGAAAACAUUAAAGCUCAAGGAGCUAAUAGUUUUAUAGCGAUGUUAAUGCUCGUGACUGAUAUGUCACGUAGUACCAAGGUACGCUGCAAGUCUAAGAAUGUUUGGGAAUGUUGGUUUGAGGUAAUGACUACCUUGCCAUUACAUAGACUCGAUAAUGACACAGUCUUGAUACACUUGUGGAGGUAGAGCAUACAAUAGUAAAAAGUGCUUCCCUCACAUGUUUCAUUUCAUGUUGAGUAGUUAUCAAGGUAGAGUACCAAAUAAAGGUAAGCAAAGAUUGAACUGUGCUUUAAAUGCUUAGUGAAUAAUGGUGAUAUGCUUUAGUUAAUCGAUAUUACCCUUGGUGAGGGAAUAAAAGUGCACAAUUGGAUUUGUAGAGAUCUACUUGGGAAAAGAGAUGAUGAUUUGAGAAUUCAAGUACUCAUAUACAAAUAAAGAUUUGGUAAUGAAACAUGACCUAGAGAUGGAAUACUACAAUAUAAAUUUUGACUAAGAAAAUCAACUUAUAAAACACUUGGUGUUUGGAGAUGGUGUCAAUUAGUGGUUGACUCUUGUAUGAGAAUGGAAUAUUGAAAUCAACUUUGUGUAUUCACCACAAAUGAUAAAGCAUGAUCUAACCAACUAAGAGAAGAAAUGGCUCUAAACUUGAUUGUUGGUUAUUUUGAUUUUACAGACGGCUUAUUGGGCUUGAUAUGCCUAAGGCUAUUCGAAGUUAAAAUUUUUGGAAAUAUAUAUGUAUGGAUAUAUAUGUUGCAUAUUGGUAUAAAAGCUCAUGCGGAGUUAGUUAUAAUUUGAUUCGAUGUUGAUAUUCUAUCAACGGUUAUAAUGCUAGACAAUGAUUAAGAUAAUUUAUCGUUGAUUUUUGCAGUGAACAAGUUGAUUAUUAUGUUGUUAACUUAAAAGUAAGUGUUUAUACUUUUGGUAUAAGUUCAUCAAAUUCUAUUAUAUUGUGAUCAAACUUGGUGUUUUGAUAUAGCCUGAGAGGCUUGGCAUAUAAACUAGCUUAACUGUGAGCUAGAAAUUGUUAGGUUAUUAUGAAGUACACAAAUAGAGAAAUAUGACAUGAAUUUAAUAUCCUAAGGGGCAAUGGAAAAUGAUGUAUUUAUUUUGGUAUAGCUUCAAUAUAUAUAGUUUUGAUAUAUAAAGAUGUGGGGAAAAGUUUAUAGCUUACGCGUGAAGGUGUGCACUUGAAUUUGUGCACGUAAAAGUGUGAAAUCUACCUUGAUUAGCAUAAAGCCCAUGAUUCAUAAUGAAAGAUGAUGGAUUUAAUUUUCUAAGGUAAAAAGGGCUGAAAUAAGUUAAUUUCAGAAAGGUCUUAGUAAAUGAUUCCUUGAUUUUAAACUGUACUUAAGGAAAGAUUAAUGUCUAAUUUCAUCCUCAGAUUGAUAAACUAAUGAGGUCAUGAGAUCUGACAUUUGGAGUAAAUUUGAGAAAUAUCAAGUUAGAUAUGUUGUGGGUGAUUGAUGACGAGCAAAUUAGCUAUGACAUUGAAAAUAUAGAAAUGAUUAGUAAUCAAAAUGAGAGUUGGAAAGGAUCUUUAAAGGAAAAAUUUUGAGCAACUUUAAUCUUGAGAGGUUGAGUUAUUGAUUAAAGAGACUAGUUAAGAUUAUAAGGGAGUAUGUGGAAUGUCAUGAUUUAUUGAAAUGUCUUGUGGUAUAAAUUGAGAUUUAUCUAGUGAGCACUCGAUCAUGAAAGUAUUGGAGUUUGUUUUUGGGAAUAUGAUGAUUAAUGGUUACUAGAUUUGAAUCAUCUUUGAUUUUAAAACAUAAAUGAAAUGAAUAAAGAUCGUUUGAUCCUUAUGUAUUGUGAAAUGCUUAAAUGGAAUUUGUAUGGGAGAAUGAAAAAUGAAAUAGAGAUUGAUUGACAAAUUAAACCCAUAGUCAAUGGUGGAAUAGAUGCUUGAAUAUUGGAAGGGUUGAUAAAAGAGCAAGGUAGAGGAGUUACGAAUGGUUAAGUAAACAUGCAUGAUUGAUGAUUUAAGGAUGAUUUGAUUGAGGUGUGACCAGAGUUAAUAGCAUGUUUGAAUUCUCUUCAUAAGAUAAAGAAUGAUACCAUUUUGACCCAACAAGAGUAGUACACAUAACUAUAUACUAUGACAUUGUCGAGUUCUCUAUAAGAUUGGAAGUCGAUAUGAUGCAUAAGCCAAGAUUCUAUGUUAAGAAUGCCCAACGAGAGUGAUGUGGUAGAACUUUAGAACUUUGAUUAUUCACCCUACGUCGAUUUGAAUUCGAUGACGUAUUCAUUUUAAAUGGGGGAGAAUAUAGUACCUUGUAUAUUGAUACAGUGGCUAAUAAAGUUUAUGGAUGCCAAUUGAGGUUGAUUACUGAGUUAAAAGGGUAAUUCAUAAGUGAACCUGUGAAAUCUCGACCCCUAUAAACACGUAAUUAGAAGUAGACGCGAUAAUGCAGAUCAGGGGUAAUUUCGUAAUUUCUCUUGGUAGGUUUCUAUGAGUGGGUUUUUUUUUAUGCUAUUAAAGUCUAAAUAGGCCUAAGGAAUGAAUAAAUGAUGUUUACGAUGGUAAAUAAAUGAGGAAAAUAAAAAUAAUGAUAAUUUCCAUAAUAGGGGCAAAAUGGUCAUUUUGCACCUCGAGUCAAAAUUUUCAGUUUUCGUAAGCCUGAGUAGUUUAGAUCAUUGUGGACCUGGUCCCAACGUCAAAAGAAUAAAAAUAUUGCACAAAGGAUUGGAGAAGAACAAGUUAACUUGCUAAGGGGCAUUUUGGUAAUUACGUGAGAAAAUGGAUAAAUAUAAGGCAUAAAUAUCCAAGUUUCUAGCAACUUCUUCAAAUUUCCAGCAGAUUCUUCAAGCUUCCAGCAAAUUUUUCUUCUUCCUCACCCAUCCAAUGCCAUUUUUCAUUCCACCUCCAUGAAAAUCAAAUAUUUCAUGUGAUUUUUCCUUGUUUUCUUUUUAUUUCUUUUCUUUUCCUAAUCCUUCCUUCUCCUAACUUCUUGGGCACUGAAUUGGCAGCUUCUAACCCCAAUUUCUAGCACAUCUAAACCCUUGGAGAGAGAAAGAAAAAUCUCUCCUUGUUUCUUAUAUUUUCUAUUUCUACUUCACUUUCAACAACACUUGGAUUUUUGGCUUCAAAUCUUCAUUUUCAAGGUUGAAAGGU
rnacentral:lncRNA from 1 species